GUAGGGAAUAUUGGACAAUGGGGGCAACCCUGAUCCAGCGACGCCGCGUGAGUGAUGAAGGCCUUCGGGUCGUAAAGCUCUGUUGCAGGGGAAGAACACAAUGACGGUACCCUGCUAGAAAGGAUCGGCUAACUUCGUGCCAGCAGCCGCGGUAAGACGAGGGAUCCUAGCGUUGUUCGGAAUUAUUGGGCGUAAAGCGGGUGCAGGUGGCUUGGUAAGUCAGAUGUGAAAGCCUGGGGCUUAACCCCAGAAGCGCAUUUGAUACUGCUGAGCUUGAGUGCUGGAGAGGCUAUUAGAAUUCCUGGUGUAGUGGUGAAAUACGUAGAUAUCAGGAGGAAUACCGGAGGCGAAGGCGGAUAGCUGGCCAGACACUGACACUCAGACCCGAAAGCGUGGGGAUCAAACAGGAUUAGAAACCCUUGUAGUCC
rnacentral:rRNA from 1 species